UACAGAGGGGGCAAGCGUUGUUCGGAAUUACUGGGCGUAAAGGGCGCGUAGGCGGCCUUCUAAGUCGAACGUGAAAUCCCUGGGCUCAACCCAGGAACUGCGUCCGAUACUGGGAGGCUUGAAUCCGGGAGAGGGAUGUGGAAUUCCAGGUGUAGCGGUGAAAUGCGUAGAUAUCUGGAGGAACACCGGUGGCGAAGGCGGCAUCCUGGACCAAUACUGACGCUGAGGAGCGAAAGCCAGGGGAGCAAACGGG
rnacentral:rRNA from 1 species